rnacentral:ncRNA from 1 species
UAAUCCUGCCCGUGAGGAUAGGCUGAACGUGCAGAAGUCAGCAGACGCCAUAGUGCAUGCUUGGC